rnacentral:rRNA from 1 species
CAGUCGCCGCGGAAUACGAAGGGUGCAAGCGUUACUCGGAAUUACUGGGCGUAAAGCGUGCGUAGGUGGUGGUUUAAGUCCGUUGUGAAAGCCCUGGGCUCAACCUGGGAAUGGCAGUGGAUACUGGCAAGCUAGAGUGUGUCAGAGGAUGGUGGAAUUCCCGGUGUAGCGGUGAAAUGCGUAGAGAUCGGGAGGAACAUCAGUGGCGAAGGCGGCCAUCUGGGACAACACUGACGCUGAGGCACGAAAGCGUGGGGAGCAAACAGGAUUAGAUACCCCCGUAGUCCCUGUCUCUUAUACA